rnacentral:rRNA from 1 species
CACCGCGGUUAUACGAGAGACCCUAGUUGAUUGAAGCGGCGUAAAGAGUGGUUAUGGAAUUCUUUUCUUAAAGCAGAAAACCUCUCAAACUGUUAUACGCACCCAGAGGUUAAAAUACCUCACACGAAAGUGACUUUAUUUUCGCCUACCAGAACCCACGAAAGCUAGGACA